rnacentral:rRNA from 1 species
GACGAACGCUGGCGGCGUGCCUAAUACAUGCAAGUAGGACGCAGUUGCGAACGGGUGAGUAACGCGUAGGUAACUACCUAUUAGAGGGGGAUAACUAUUGGCAACGAUAGCUAAUACCGCAUACUAGUAGAUGGACCUGCGUUGUAUUAGCUAGUAGGUGGGGUAAUGGCUCACCUAGGCGACGAUCCCUAGCUGGUGCGAGGUGAUGACCAGACACACUGGAACUGCGACACGGGCCCGACUCCUACGGGAGGCAGCAGAAGGGAAGCUUCGGCAAGGGGGGUAACCCUGACCGAGCAACGCCGCGGGAGUGAAGAAGGUUUUCGGAUCGUAAAGCUCUGUUGUUAAGGAAGCGGUACUUAACCAGAAAGGGACGGCUAACUACGUGCCAGCAGCCGCGGUAAUAC